GGGGGCGUAGCUCAGCUGGGAGAGCACCUGCCUUGCAAGCAGGGGGUCAGGAGUUCGAUCCUCCUCGUCUCCA
rnacentral:tRNA from 1 species